CGGCCGCACCCUUGCUCUAGGUGCCGAGCAGGGCGGUCCUGCCCGGUGACUUGUAGCUGCCUGACCCGAGCCUCCAAGCACGCACCCCGCCCUCUUCUGCCGCUGGCUCCGUCCAGGCCGUUACUGUAAAGCGAGGUGAGGCUGGUCUGGCGAGGGAUCGCCCCAGUCCGGCUGCUACUCAGCUGCAGGAAGCUGCCACAGGAAGGAGCCCUGUGUGAGGUCUGCCUGGCCUACAAAGUGAGAUCUCGCCUCAGAACGGAUGAGUGGAAAUAAAACAUGCGUGAAGAACAAGAGGAGCAGUCCUAGCAGGAAAUCACUGAGCAUGAGCAGAAGAGCGGUCCUAGCGGGAAAGCACCCAGCAUGAGGGACUCUUCACAUUUCGAGUAUGGCUUUAAUGGAGACGUGCAGGUGUACCUCCGGGCAGCCUGGGAUGCAUCGCAAGAUACUGCGUCAGAAAAAAGAAGCCAAGGGAAACACAAAACAGAUGCUCGAUGUUCAAAGACGGCAGAACAGACAGCACGGAGGGACUCUUGCCAGCAAGGCAGAGGAUCUGCGUCUGAUCGUUGGAACCCACGUGGCUGAAGAGAAGAACUGGCUCCCUGAAGUUGUUCUCUCAUCCCCAUGCAAACUGUGACAUGUGUACCUCUCCCACGUGCACACAGAGUAAGUGUUGUGUAAGUGUUGUGAGCCUCGCCUUUAAAGUCUGAGCCAUCUUUCCAUCCCAGUAAGUAUAAUUUUAAAAAGCUGAAUAAACUUAAGUCUGUGUAACAAA